GAUCCCCUUAUCCAGGCCACCUUUGGAAACCAGCCCACCUGCUACACCAACCUUUUCCCAACACCGUGGUCCCACCCCUACCUUCGCUGCUGAAAAACCGCAUUGUGUGGGGGUCUGGAAUCUUCUGGACUCCUGGGACCCCAAUCCGCUUGCCUCUUGUACCCCUCUUGCAGAGCAAUGAGGUUUAUGGGGUGGGGUGAGGGGUGGGGAUGGGAUGAGAGAGGCUGCUUUCCUGGGCCUACAAUUGGAGUUCCCUUCUCCUUGCCAUCCCCAGAAACUCCAAGAGCUGACCCUCUGUCUUACUAACUCAAACGGCCCAGAAACAUCAAAGUCUGACCAAAAACCGUUAAUGGUAGUCAGCUCCCUCCCUUUCACAGAGGUCUCACUACUGUCGGGGGGCGCCGGGCGCAGGCCGGGCAUGGGGCCUGAGCUUAGGCCAGGUGGAAAGGUGGAAGGACCUAGUGGGGACAGACGAAGAGACCGAGGAGCCGCCCGCCCGGCUAAAUGGACACAGGAAAGGCCUGAGUCAGGCUUCUCAUAAUAAAUAAACUGCACGUGAAUAAUUCAGCAGUCGCGCGGGGGCCGGUUGCAUCAGCGCCGCCGCCGCCGCGCGGCGCCCAAUUCCCCGCGGAGGGGAGUAGCCAAUUAAGGCACUUGAAAAGGGAGUCGGGUGGAAGAUCCCCCGCCCACCAGUAUCCUGGAUUUACCCAGGUCGAGUUCAGAGAGCCUCCCCGGUCCCAACCCCCUCGGGCCCCAUGGGUCAGGGGGCCGCCUGCUGGGAAGUGCUACCUCAGCUAAGCCGCUCAGGUGUCCCGAGACUCCGGGCAAGGGAAGACAGGCGGCGAGACGGAGCCAGAAUAAGGGAUGCGGACGUCUGACCUGUGGAAAACCCAGCAUCUGCAGUGCCCAGCCGCACAGGGAACGUGGGCGGCGUGGUUCCAAGCACAGUGAAGACGCCAGGCUCGGAUCUGUGCUCAGAGCCGGGAUCCCUCCGGGCUGCUUCGUCCUGGCCAGGACUUUCCUUGCCCUGAAGUGAGGCGCCAGGGAAGCUGCAGGGCCCUCCGCCCUCUCUGAACUCCCACGUACUUGGGCCUCUCCCAGCCUUUCUUGGACCUGUGGAAGCAAUUCCUGCAGGACCAGACUCCCCUGUCUCCCCGCGGCCCCCUAGGUACACUCCGUAACUUCCGAAACCUUAUUUCGUUUGAGCGAAACCCGGCCCCUUUGGCUCUUCCCACUUCCCACAAGUCCCUGGGUUCCCGAUCCUGAGGGAUUGCAUUCAUCCCAUCUCACACCCACCAACGCUCAAUCCCUCCAGUUCCUCCCCAGCCCCUUCACUUCCAUUAAUUAGGUCGACUCCCUUCCUUCGCCGCUCCCUCCUGUCCCCACUCAGCCUCCCUACACCUAUGCGGCGAGCCUCGGGCCAAGACCUCCGCCCUGGCUCCGCCAGUCCUGCGGGGGCCGGCAUGCACCAGACCUCAAAAGGGAUCUUCACGGGAAUUCCGCAUAGCCAGAUCCCAAGCCUCCAGGGAGGCCACCAGCCCUCCCCCAUCUUCUUCUUCCUCCUCCGUCUCCUUUCCUCUUCCCUCCGCCUCUACGUAUUUCUUUCUAUUCGUUUCUUUUCGUUUGGUGAGGUGCCACCCGCCACAGCCCUGUCCCCUAGGGAGAGGCCUGGACUAACUUUGCCGUCCUCGUGGCCUUAGCCCGGACUGUGAGUCUCGAGCGGCUUCCGAGAGGCAGCUCGGGUGUCUUCGCAGAGACAGAUGAGGUGGGCUGGCGAUUCCCUAGCCUCAGAUGGCUCUGCCACCAGCCAGCUCUGUGAUCCUGGGCCGAUGGGGUGCCAGGCAUUAGAAACCUUCCCUCCAAUCCUCACCAUGUCUCCAUUUUGCCAAAGAAGAAACUGAGGUUAAGGUCGCGAUGCUCUGGCCAGCAUCACAGGUGGGAUUCGAACGCAGAUGGGGUUUGGAGCGGCUCUUGUGUUUAAGCCACACAGUCUGACGUUAGACGGGUGAAUCCAGCCCUCGCAGGGCCUGGAGUGACCUAAGCCGAGAGGAGCUGGGCUGAAUCUCCAGGCGUUCCUUUCUUUCUGCCCUAGGAAAGCUUUGAAAUUCUUAUUUUCAGGUAAACGAUUUUGGCAGUGCCCGGAGAAAGAUAGAAGUAAGACCUAAAGAGGAACUUUCCGCAUGUUAUGGGAGAGCCCCUGGGGCGAGGAGGCGAGGGCAGCCUUCCCCAGGCCAAGGGAGCAGCCAUCGCUCUUGGAUCUGUUUUUCCUCAAGCGUCUGUCCUGUGGGGCCUAGUCCCCAAGCGGCAGUCCUGGACCUAACGGGAGAAGGGGCUGGGGGAAGAGGGCGCACCCCCAGCCCGGGACCCACAGCAGCCCUAGCCAGUCCCCCACUCUCUCCCUCUGUAGGGGCCUCUCUCUGAGAUCGGGUCCUCCUCCUGCAGGGCAGCAGAGUGGAAGCCAGGGCCUGGGACCCUCUGGCUGGGCAAGGAGGGACUGGAGUCCGGCUCCCGGUGACCCCGUCCCCAGUGCCAGCGGUGGGGUCGCCUGUGGCGGCCCGGACAGGCCACGGGUCCCUCUCCCCAAGUCCCAUUACGUUGUAUUUAUGUUUCAUUUUAUAGUUUUUUUUUCCUCCUCCCUUAUUAUUGUCUCACUCUGGGGGAGGCAAAGGAUAUAAUAUAUUCAUCUUUAUUAUACCAAAUCUGUGUGAAGCAUUUAAUAAAACGCUGUUUCCACACAGCCAGGGAUAUUUCCUGUGCGCCCAAACUUGUGCCGGGCACCAAGACGAGAAUAAGACAGCAGGGCAGAAGUUGUGGAGAAGCUGAAUUGUCUCUCUGCAAGGAAAAAUUUCCUGACACAAGUAUCUGUCCAGGCAAGAAGAUUCAACUGCAAGAGCUUUCAGCAGGCAAUGGUGUCCAACUAGAAUCGAAACACAUUGUUAUUGUUUUACUUAUUUUUAUAAUUACUUUUUAUUUUGGCAAGUAACGGGUGGUUUCGCAGUUACUGUAGUGCUAGAAGGCUUUUUUAAAAAAACAAUAAACAUACUUGAGUAAGAAAU
rnacentral:lncRNA from 1 species